UACGUAGGGUGCAGGUGUUAAUCGGAAUUACUGGGCGUAAAGCGUGCGCAGGCGGUUUGCUAAGACAGGUGUGAAGUCCCCGGGCUUAACCUGGGAACUGCGCUUGUUACUGGCAGGCUUGAGUGUGGCAGAGGGGGGUGGAAUUCCACGUGUAGCAGUGAAAUGCGUAGAGAUGUGGAGGAACACCGAUGGCGAAGGCAGCCCCCUGGGCCAAUACUGACGCUCAUGCACGAAAGCGUGGGGAGCAAACAGG
rnacentral:rRNA from 1 species